rnacentral:rRNA from 1 species
UACAGAGGGGGCAAGCGUUGUUCGGAAUUACUGGGCGUAAAGGGCGCGUAGGCGGCCUUCUAAGUCGGACGUGAAAUCCCCGGGCUCAACCCGGGAACUGCGUCCGAGACUGGAAGGCUAGAAUCCGGGAGAGGGAUGUGGAAUUCCAGGUGUAGCGGUGAAAUGCGUAGAUAUCUGGAGGAACACCGGUGGCGAAGGCGGCAUCCUGGACCGGUAUUGACGCUGAGGCGCGAAAGCCAGGGGAGCAAACGGG